rnacentral:rRNA from 1 species
AUGCACGCUGGCGGCGUGCCUAAUCCCUGCAAGUCGAGCGAACAGACGAGGAGCUUGCUCCUCUGACGUUAGCGGCGGACGGGUGAGUAACACGUGGAUAACCUACCUAUAAGACUGGGAUAACUUCGGGAAACCGGAGCUAAUACCGGAUAAUAUAUUGAACCGCAUGGUUCAAUAGUGAAAGACGGUUUUGCUGUCACUUAUAGAUGGAUCCGCGCCGCAUUAGCUAGUUGGUAAGGUAACGGUUUACCAAGGCAACGAUGCGUAGCCGACCUGAGAGGGUGAUCGGCCACACUGGAACUGAGACACGGUCCAGACUCCUACGGGAGGCAGCAGUAGGGAAUCUUCCGCAAUGGGCGAAAGCUUGACGGAGCAACGCCGCGUGAGUGAUGAAGGUCUUCGGAUCGUAAAACUCUGUUAUUAGGGAAGAACAAAUGUGUAAGUAACUAUGCACGUCUUGACGGUACCUAAUCAGAAAGCCACGGCUAACUACGUG